rnacentral:rRNA from 1 species
UAGCCGUAAACGAUACUCGCUAGGUGUCGGCCACGGUGCGACCGUUGUCGGUGCCGUAGGGAAGCCGUGAAGCGAGCCACCUGGGAAGUACGGCCGCAAGGCUGAAACUUAAAGGAAUUGGCGGGGGAGCACCACAACGGGUGGAGCUUGCGGUUUAAUUGGAUUCAACGCCGGAAAUCUUACCGGGACCGACAGCAACAUGAAGGCCAAGCUGAAGACUUUGCCGGAUUAGCUGAGAGGAGGUGCAUGGCGUAGUCGG